rnacentral:rRNA from 1 species
GACAGAGGUCCCGAGCGUUAGGCGGAAUCACUGGGCUUAAAGCGUGUGUAGGCGGCGGCCUAAGUACCUUGUGAAAUCCCACGGCUCACCCGUGGAACUGCUUGGUAUACUGCUUAUCUUGGGCCACUUAGGGGUUACCGGAACAAACGGUGGAGCGGUGAAAUGCGUAGAUAUCGUUUGGAACGCCAAUGGUGAAAACAGGUAACUGGGAGUGUGCCGACGCUGAGACACGAAAGCCAGGGGAGCGAACGGG